AGUGAACGCUGGCGGCGUGCCUAAUACAUGCAAGUCGAACGGAGUGGCGCACGGGUGAGUAAUAUAUAGCUAAUCUGCCCCUUGCUGGAGGACAAAAGAUAGAAAUGACUGCUCAUACCACAUAGCAAGGGAUGAGACUAUAUCGUAUCAGCUAGUCGGUGGGGUAACGGCCUACCGAGGCUAUGACGCGUAACUGGUCUGAGAUGAUGAUCAGUCACAUUGGAACUGAGACACCGUCCAAACUCCUACCGGAGGCAGCAGUAGGGAGUAUUGCGCAAUGGGGGAGACCCUGACACAGCAACGCCGCGUGGAGUAUGACACUUUUCGGAGCGUAAACUCCUUUUGUUAGGGAAGCGGUACCUAACGAAUAAGCACCGGCUAACUCCGUGCCAGCAGCCGCGGUAAUUC
rnacentral:rRNA from 1 species